CAGUAGCCGCGGUAAUACGAAGGGUGCAAGCGUUAAUCGGAAUUACUGGGCGUAAAGCGUGCGUAGGCGGUGAGUUAAGUCUGCUGUGAAAUCCCCGGGCUCAACCUGGGAAUGGCAGUGGAUACUGGCUCGCUAGAGUGUGUCAGAGGAUGGUGGAAUUCCCGGUGUAGCGGUGAAAUGCGUAGAGAUCGGGAGGAACAUCAGUGGCGAAGGCGGCCAUCUGGGACAACACUGACGCUGAGGCACGAAAGCGUGGGGAGCAAACAGGAUUAGAUACCCCGGUAGUCCCUGUCUCUUAUAA
rnacentral:rRNA from 1 species